rnacentral:rRNA from 1 species
UACGUAGGGUGCGAGCGUUGUCCGGAAUUAUUGGGCGUAAAGAGCUCGUAGGCGGUUUGUCACGUCUGCUGUGAAAUCCCGAGGCUCAACCUCGGGCCUGCAGUGGGUACGGGCAGACUGGAGUGCGGUAGGGGAGACUGGAAUUCCUGGUGUAGCGGUGAAAUGCGCAGAUAUCAGGAGGAACACCGAUGGCGAAGGCAGGUCUCUGGGCCGAUACUGACGCUGAGGAGCGAAAGCGUGGGGAGCGAACAGG